rnacentral:rRNA from 1 species
UUCUUUAUCACCGAGUGCUUGCACUCACCGAUAAAGAGUUGAGUGGCGAACGGGUGAGUAACACGUGGGCAACCUGCCCAAAAGAGGGGGAUAACACUUGGAAACAGGUGCUAAUACCGCAUAACCAUAGUUACCGCAUGGUAACUAUGUAAAAGGUGGCUAUGCUACCGCUUUUGGAUGGGCCCGCGGCGCAUUAGCUAGUUGGUGGGGUAAAGGCUUACCAAGGCAAUGAUGCGUAGCCGAACUGAGAGGUUGAUCGGCCACAUUGGGACUGAGACACGGCCCAAACUCCUACGGGAGGCAGCAGUAGGGAAUCUUCCACAAUGGGCGAAAGCCUGAUGGAGCAACGCCGCGUGGGUGAAGAAGGUCUUCGGAUCGUAAAACCCUGUUGUUAGAGAAGAAAGUGCGUGAGAGUAACUGUUCACGUUUCGACGGUAUCUAACCAGAAAGCCACGGCUAACUACGUGCCAGCAGCCGCGGUAAUACGUAGGUGGCAAGCGUUAUCCGGAUUUAUUGGGCGUAAAGGGAACGCAGGCGGUCUUUUAAGUCUGAUGUGAAAGCCUUCGGCUUAACCGGAGUAGUGCAUUGGAAACUGGGAGACUUGAGUGCAGAAGAGGAGAGUGGAACUCCAUGUGUAGCGGUGAAAUGCGUAGAUAUAUGGAAGAACACCAGUGGCGAAAGCGGCUCUCUGGUCUGUAACUGACGCUGAGGUUCGAAAGCGUGGGUAGCAAACAGGAUUAGAUACCCUGGUAGUCCACGCCGUAAACGAUGAAUGCUAAGUGUUGGAGGGUUUCCGCCCUUCAGUGCUGCAGCUAACGCAAUAAGCAUUCCGCCUGGGG